rnacentral:lncRNA from 1 species
AGUAUCUGACUGGGACUUUUUGUGAUUUUACAUCAGGUGCAGCUGCUUUAAGGCAACACAGUUUCUCAUGUCCUUUAUGUCUGGCUGUCCCAUGGUCUGGAGACAUUGUCGGGGGAACAAGCCUGAGCUGGUCUCUGACUUCCUGGAGUUACACUCGAUUUGGGGAGAUGGAUGGAUGGAUGGCAUACAAGGGACCGACCAGAGAGCGUGAUUUAUUUUCACAAAAAGACCAAGCUACAGUGAUGCGAAUACAGUUUGAUGCUGCAGAGUGUGCCUGAAAUCGAAGGCAAGGUGAAUGAGACACUGUCUCCAGAGUGUGGAGUGUACGAAACUCUUCCACACUCGGAUGCCCUCCGUCUUUGUCAUCCUCCAGCAUGCUGGGCUGCGCAGGUGCUCCUGCUGUCUCCGUGGUAUCUCCAGAUGAGGAGACCAGCUCAGAGAGGGGAAGGCAUUCUGUUCUUCUUGAUCCAGCUGAUUUGUGAUUGUAGGUGUGGUUCAUUGGUUCGUCCUGUUUUCUGCUCUGUAGCUGACAUCCGGAGAGCACACUGACAUAGGUGAGAAUAAGCCACUGAUGGAUUUUGAUCAAAAUAUUCUAUAAUAUUUAGUGCUUUCAUUUACUGCAUCUGAAAAUGGAAAUCAACACUUGAAAUUUUGGGGAGUGGGAAGCUUUAUUGGAGUUCCAUCUAUCGAAGAUUACAAAGAGCAGAGCAUGGGACUCAGUGUGUUAUCCCGGAGUGUGUUCUCCUGGAGAGAACACGUCCUGUAACCACCUCCUGGGACACGAAAGAGAAUAUAGCCAACAUUCCUGCCUGCCCCUAGGCUGAGACUCUCCUUUUCUCCUCAAAAAUAACCACUCUGCUGACUGUUUUUUAUUUUUUUUUGUUUUUGUUUUUGUCUCAGC